rnacentral:rRNA from 1 species
UUAAGCGACUAAGCGUACACGGUGGAUGCCCUGGCAGUCAGAGGCGAUGAAGGACGUGCUAAUCUGCGAUAAGCGUCGGUAAGGUGAUAUGAACCGUUAUAACCGGCGAUUUCCGAAUGGGGAAACCCAGUGUGUUUCGACACACUAUCAUUAACUGAAUCCAUAGGUUAAUGAGGCGAACCGGGGGAACUGAAACAUCUAAGUACCCCGAGGAAAAGAAAUCAACCGAGAUUCCCCCAGUAGCGGCGAGCGAACGGGGAGCAGCCCAGAGCCUGAAUCAGUGUGUGUGUUAGUGGAAGCGUCUGGAAAGGCGCGCGAUACAGGGUGACAGCCCCGUACACAAAAAUGCACAUGCUGUGAGCUCGAUGAGUAGGGCGGGACACGUGGUAUCCUGUCUGAAUAUGGGGGGACCAUCCUCCAAGGCUAAAUACUCCUGACUGACCGAUAGUGAACCAGUACCGUGAGGGAAAGGCGAAAAGAACCCCGGCGAGGGGAGUGAAAAAGAACCUGAAACCGUGUACGUACAAGCAGUGGGAGCACGCUUAGGCGUGUGACUGCGUACCUUUUGUAUAAUGGGUCAGCGACUUAUAUUCUGUAGCAAGGUUAACCGAAUAGGGGAGCCGAAGGGAAACCGAGUCUUAACUGGGCGUUAAGUUGCAGGGUAUAGACCCGAAACCCGGUGAUCUAGCCAUGGGCAGGUUGAAGGUUGGGUAACACUAACUGGAGGACCGAACCGACUAAUGUUGAAAAAUUAGCGGAUGACUUGUGGCUGGGGGUGAAAGGCCAAUCAAACCGGGAGAUAGCUGGUUCUCCCCGAAAGCUAUUUAGGUAGCGCCUCGUGAAUUCAUCUCCGGGGGUAGAGCACUGUUUCGGCAAGGGGGUCAUCCCGACUUACCAACCCGAUGCAAACUGCGAAUACCGGAGAAUGUUAUCACGGGAGACACACGGCGGGUGCUAACGUCCGUCGUGAAGAGGGAAACAACCCAGACCGCCAGCUAAGGUCCCAAAGUCAUGGUUAAGUGGGAAACGAUGUGGGAAGGCCCAGACAGCCAGGAUGUUGGCUUAGAAGCAGCCAUCAUUUAAAGAAAGCGUAAUAGCUCACUGGUCGAGUCGGCCUGCGCGGAAGAUGUAACGGGGCUAAACCAUGCACCGAAGCUGCGGCAGCGACACUAUGUGUUGUUGGGUAGGGGAGCGUUCUGUAAGCCUGUGAAGGUGUGCUGUGAGGCAUGCUGGAGGUAUCAGAAGUGCGAAUGCUGACAUAAGUAACGAUAAAGCGGGUGAAAAGCCCGCUCGCCGGAAGACCAAGGGUUCCUGUCCAACGUUAAUCGGGGCAGGGUGAGUCGACCCCUAAGGCGAGGCCGAAAGGCGUAGUCGAUGGGAAACAGGUUAAUAUUCCUGUACUUGGUGUUACUGCGAAGGGGGGACGGAGAAGGCUAUGUUGGCCGGGCGACGGUUGUCCCGGUUUAAGCGUGUAGGCUGGUUUUCCAGGCAAAUCCGGAAAAUCAAGGCUGAGGCGUGAUGACGAGGCACUACGGUGCUGAAGCAACAAAUGCCCUGCUUCCAGGAAAAGCCUCUAAGCAUCAGGUAACAUCAAAUCGUACCCCAAACCGACACAGGUGGUCAGGUAGAGAAUACCAAGGCGCUUGAGAGAACUCGGGUGAAGGAACUAGGCAAAAUGGUGCCGUAACUUCGGGAGAAGGCACGCUGAUAUGUAGGUGAAGCGACUUGCUCGUGGAGCUGAAAUCAGUCGAAGAUACCAGCUGGCUGCAACUGUUUAUUAAAAACACAGCACUGUGCAAACACGAAAGUGGACGUAUACGGUGUGACGCCUGCCCGGUGCCGGAAGGUUAAUUGAUGGGGUCAGCGCAAGCGAAGCUCUUGAUCGAAGCCCCGGUAAACGGCGGCCGUAACUAUAACGGUCCUAAGGUAGCGAAAUUCCUUGUCGGGUAAGUUCCGACCUGCACGAAUGGCGUAAUGAUGGCCAGGCUGUCUCCACCCGAGACUCAGUGAAAUUGAACUCGCUGUGAAGAUGCAGUGUACCCGCGGCAAGACGGAAAGACCCCGUGAACCUUUACUAUAGCUUGACACUGAACAUUGAGCCUUGAUGUGUAGGAUAGGUGGGAGGCUUGGAAGUGUGGACGCCAGUCUGCAUGGAGCCGACCUUGAAAUACCACCCUUUAAUGUUUGAUGUUCUAACGUUGACCCGUAAUCCGGGUUGCGGACAGUGUCUGGUGGGUAGUUUGACUGGGGCGGUCUCCUCCUAAAGAGUAACGGAGGAGCACGAAGGUUGGCUAAUCCUGGUCGGACAUCAGGAGGUUAGUGCAAUGGCAUAAGCCAGCUUGACUGCGAGCGUGACGGCGCGAGCAGGUGCGAAAGCAGGUCAUAGUGAUCCGGUGGUUCUGAAUGGAAGGGCCAUCGCUCAACGGAUAAAAGGUACUCCGGGGAUAACAGGCUGAUACCGCCCAAGAGUUCAUAUCGACGGCGGUGUUUGGCACCUCGAUGUCGGCUCAUCACAUCCUGGGGCUGAAGUAGGUCCCAAGGGUAUGGCUGUUCGCCAUUUAAAGUGGUACGCGAGCUGGGUUUAGAACGUCGUGAGACAGUUCGGUCCCUAUCUGCCGUGGGCGCUGGAGAACUGAGGGGGGCUGCUCCUAGUACGAGAGGACCGGAGUGGACGCAUCACUGGUGUUCGGGUUGUCAUGCCAAUGGCACUGCCCGGUAGCUAAAUGCGGAAGAGAUAAGUGCUGAAAGCAUCUAAGCACGAAACUUGCCCCGAGAUGAGUUCUCCCUGACUCCUUGAGAGUCCUGAAGGAACGUUGAAGACGACGACGUUGAUAGGCCGGGUGUGUAAGCGCAGCGAUGCGUUGAGCUAACCGGUACUAAUGAACCGUGAGGCUUAACCUU